UACGGAGGGUGGCGAGCGUUGUCCGGAAUCAGCUGGGCGUAAAGGGCGCGUAGGUUGGCGCAGGAAGUCAACGGUGAAAGUUCGGGGCUCAACCCUGAAUCGGCCGUCGAUACUCCGUGGGCUCGAGUAACUGUAGAGGCAGAUGGAAUUCCGGGUGUAGCGGUGGAAUGCGUAGAGAUCCGGAAGAACACCGGUGGCGAAGGCGGUCUGCUGGGCAGUGCUGACACUGGAGGCGCGAGAGCGUGGGAGCCA
rnacentral:rRNA from 1 species